AGUAACACGUGGGAAACCUGCCCAGAAGCGGGGGAUAACACCUGGAAACAGAUGCUAAUACCGCAUAACAACUUGGACCGCAUGGUCCGAGUUUGAAAGAUGGCUUCGGCUAUCACUUUUGGAUGGUCCCGCGGCGUAUUAGCUAGAUGGUGGGGUAACGGCUCACCAUGGCAAUGAUACGUAGCCGACCUGAGAGGGUAAUCGGCCACAUUGGGACUGAGACACGGCCCAAACUCCUACGGGAGGCAGCAGUAGGGAAUCUUCCACAAUGGACGAAAGUCUGAUGGAGCAACGCCGCGUGAGUGAAGAAGGGUUUCGGUCGUAAAACUCUGUUGUUAAAGAAGAACAUAUCUGAGAGUAACUGUUCAGGUAUUGACGGUAUUUAACCAGAAAGCCACGGCUAACUACGUGCCAGCAGCCGCGGUAAUACGUAGGUGGCAAGCGUUGUCCGGAUUUAUUGGGCGUAAAGCGAGCGCAGGCGGUUUUUUAAGUCUGAUGUGAAAGCCUUCGGCUCAACCGAAGAAGUGCAUCGGAAACUGGGAAACUUGAGUGCAGAAGAGGACAGUGGAACUCCAUGUGUAGCGGUGAAAUGCGUAGAUAUAUGGAAGAACACCAGUGGCGAAGGCGGCUGUCUGGUCUGUAACUGACGCUGAGGCUCGAAAGUAUGGGUAGCAAACAGGAUUAGAUACCCUGGUAGUCCAUACCGUAAACGAUGAAUGCUAAGUGUUGGAGGGUUUCCGCCCUUCAGUGCUGCAGCUAACGCAUUAAGCAUUCCGCCUGGGGAGUACGGCCGCAAGGCUGAAACUCAAAGGAAUUGACGGGGGCCCGCUCAAGCGGUGGAGCAUGUGGUUUAAUUCGAAGCUACGCGAAGGACCUUACCAGCUCUUGACAUACUAUGCUAAUCUAGAAGAUUACACGUUCCCUUCGGGGUUACGGCCCUU
rnacentral:rRNA from 1 species